rnacentral:rRNA from 1 species
UGUAAUUUUUUUGAGCAUUUUUGCCGACUAUCAUAAGUAGAGCCUAUUGUUCUAUGGAUAGGAAAGUUUACGCUUUUUUUGACAGCUUCGGCUUUUAGUGAUUUAUUCGCAUGAAAUUCUAUAUGGAAUACGGAUAAUGACUAUUUUCUAUAUAAAAGUCUUGACCAAAACACGUGCCAGCAGUCGCGGUAACACGGGGCAGACUAGUGUUAUUCAUCUUUAGUAGGUUUAAAGGGUACCUAGACAGCAAAUCUGACUCCCGUAAUCGGAUCGGCACCUUUUUGCUAGAGUUUUAUAUGAGAGGUUUUUAGUACUAUCGGAGUAGAGAUGAAAUUUUUUGAUACUGUAGGGCACUGAUAACGGCGAAGGCAAGUCUUUAUGUAAAAACUGACGUUGAGGGACGAAGGCUUGGGUAACAAACAGGAUUAGGUACCCUAAUAGUCCAAGCAGAGACUGAUGAGUGUUAUAGAUUAGAAUUCUUUGGUCUAUAAAUGAAAGUGCAAGCACUCCACCUUAAGAGUAAUGCGGCAACGCAGGAACUAAAAUCAUUAGACCGUUUCUGAUACCAGUAGUGAAGUAUGUUAUUUAAUUCGAUGACCCGCGAAAAACCUUACCACAAUUUGAAUAUUAUAUUACCUUAGGUAAGUUAUUUAGUAUUUAUUUAUUAAAUAAUGAAAGUGUUAUAAUACAGGUGUUGCAUGGCUGUCUUCAGUUGAUGUCGUGAGAUGUAGGUUAGAUCCAAAGAAUCAACGUGUAACCCGUAUUUUAUU